rnacentral:rRNA from 2 species
ACGGGAGGCAGCAGUGGGGAAUAUUGCACAAUGGGGGAAACCCUGAUGCAGCGACGCCGCGUGGAGGAAGAAGGUCUUCGGAUUGUAAACUCCUGUCGUUGAGGACGAUAAUGACGGUACUCAACAAGAAAGCCACGGCUAACUACGUGCCAGCAGCCGCGGUAAAACGUAGGUGGCAAGCGUUGUCCGGAAUUACUGGGUGUAAAGGGAGCGCAGGCGGAUCGGCAAGUUGGAAGUGAAACCCGGGGGCUCAACCCCCGGCCUGCUUCCAAAACUGUCGGUCUUGAGUAGUGCAGAGGUAGGCGGAAUUCCCGGUGUAGCGGUGGAAUGCGUAGAUAUCGGGAGGAACACCAGUGGCGAAGGCGGCCUACUGGGCACCAACUGACGCUGAGGCUCGAAAGUAUGGGUAGCAAACAGGAUUAGAUACCCUGGUA